GGGGGAAGAGGGGGAGAUGGAGAGAGAGAAAUGGAGAUGGAGAAAGAGGGGGAGAGAUGGAGAGAGAGAGGGGGCUCUAUCCUCCCUGAAUGUUCUCUAACACCUGCCUCCACCUCUCUCUAUCCAGUUCUCUCUCUCUUUCUCUCUCUCUCUAUCCAGUUCUCUCUCUCUCUCUCUCUCUCUCUCUCUCUCUAACCAGUUCUCUCUCUAUCCAGUUCUCUCUCUAUACAGUUCUCUAUCUCUCUCUCUCUAUCCAGUUCUCCCUCUAUCCAGUUCUCUCUCUCUCUCUCUCUCUCUCUCUCUCUCUCUCUCUCUCUCUCUCUCUCUCUAUCCAGUUCUCUCUCUAUCCAGUUCUAUCUCUCUCUCUCUCUCUAUCCAGUUCUCUCUCUCUCUCUCUCUCUCUCUCUCUAUCCAGUUCUCUCUCUAUCCAGUUCUAUCUCUCUCUCUCUCUCUCUCUAUCCAGUUCUCUCUCUCUCUCUUUCCAGUUAUCUCUCUAUCCAGUUCUCUCUCUCUCUUUAUCCAGUUCUCUCUCUAUCCAGUUCUAUCUCUCUCUCUCUCUCUCUCUCUCUCUCUCUCUCUCUCUCUCUCUCUCUCUCUAUCCAGUUCUCUCUCUCUCUCUCUCUCUAUCCAGUUAUCUCUCUAUCCAGUUCUCUCUCUCUCUAUCCAGUUCUCUCUCUAUCCAGUUCUCUCUCUAUCCAGUUCUCUCUCUCUCUAUCCAGUUAUCUCUCUAUCCAGUUCUCUCUCUCUCUCUCUCUAUCCAGUUCUCUCUCUAUCCAGUUCUCUCUCUAUCCAGUUCUCUCUCUCUCUCUCUAUCCAGUUAUCUCUCUAUCCAGUUCUCUCUCUAUCCAGUUCUCUCUCUAUCCAGUUCUAUCUCUCUCUCUCUCCUCAGACAGUUUGACACACACAAGUUUUCUCCGCUUCAGUCUCUGAUGAACGUGUGUUUUGUAUCACUAAUAUUUAGUCAAUUGGAAGCGCAGUGCAGAGGAGACAGUGGACGUGCUGUAAGAGAUGCUUGGUGGUGUUCAGCUCUGGCUUCUGUUCAUCCAUUAGAUACCUGCAUGUCGUGCUUUAUUGGUGUCAGAAUCAACCUCUGGUUAUGUGUUGGACCGGGCAUCUUUCUCUCUCUGGUGUAUCACUGCUGGAGUCUGAGUCAGUGGGAUGUUUUAGGUUGAGUGAGUCAGUGGGAUGUUUUAGGUUGAGUGAGUCAGUGGGAUGUUUUAGGUUGAGUGAGUCAGUGGGAUGUUUUAGGUUGAGUGAGUCAGUGGGAUGUUUUAGGUUGAGUGAGUCAGUGGGAUGUUUUAGGUUGAGUGAGUCAGUGGGAUGUUGAGUGGAGAGACUGUAUUUAAUCGACUGAAUGAAUGAACCCAGAGGUCCACCCGAAAAUAAGGGAGUAGAAAACAACAUCACCACAGAGGAUAACAUAACCAGAGGAGCUGCUUUCUGUCAUAUUUUUUGUGCUUUUCUAUUUGAAGACUGGAGCCAUGCUUUUGUUAUUUAAUCCAGGAAGUUUAUUUAGUUUCAAUAACAUCUGUUUUGUUGUGAUUUUGCUUCCGCGUCCUACCCACUGACCACCUCAAUCUAGCAAUUAAACAAACAAUCAAAACACUUUGACUGAUAUGCUGACCACCUCUCUACUGAGCCCCUAAAGUUACUGAUGAAGUAGAGGUCAGAAAGUGUCAGGUCUCACUUCUAACCUUUCAGUUUGACCCUUGAACUUUGACAUAUGAUGUCCUGUAGAUUUUGAAAGCCCUUCAUAUCGCACAUAUCGCUGCUAACAUAUCGCACAGCUAGUGGCUUGCACAUUUCAAACCUGCCACACUGAUAGGGAAUACUGCACAAGAAACUCCCGUAUAGAAGAUUCAACUACACUGAACAGAAAUACAAAACACAACAUACACAAACAUUCAAAGAUUUUACUGAGUAACAGUUCAUAUAAAGAAAUCAAUCAAUUUAAAUCCAUUUGUUAUGCCCUGAUAUAUGGAUUUCAUGGCUGGGAAUACAGAUAUGCAUCUGAUCACAGAUACCUUGGUCUGCAGUUGGAUAUACUGAGGCCGGUUGGACAUACUGCCAAAUUCUAACAAACGACUUUGGAGGAGACUUGUGGUAGAGAAAUUAACAUUCAAUUCUCUGGCAACAGCUCCGGUGGACAUUCCUGCGGUCAGAAUGCCAAUUGCACGUUCCCUCAACAGCACAUUUUAGAGUGGCCUUUUGUCCCCUGCACAAGGUGUAUCUAUGUAAUGAUCAUGCUGUUUAAUCAGCUUCUUGAUAUGCCACACCUGUCAGGUGAAUGUAUUUUCCUGGCAGAGGAGAACUGCUCACUAACAGGGAUGUCAACAGAUUUAUUAUGAGAAGAACAAAAAUGCGUAAAAAGUUUUUUGUGCGUAAAGAACAUUUCUGGGAUCUGUUAUUUCCACUCAUGAAACAUGGGACCAAAUCUUUACAUGUUGUGUUUAUAUUUUAUUCAGUGUAGACACCCUGUGGGGUUGUACCUCACCGUAGGUCAGUGUAGACACCCUGUGGGGUUGUACCUCACCGUAGGUCAGUGUAGACACCCUGUGUACCUCACCGUAGGUCAGUGUAGACACCCUGUGUACCUCACCGUAGGUCAGUGUAGACACCCUGUGGGGUUGUACCUCACCGUAGGUCAGUGUCCAUUACCAGCCCCUUCACGCAGGCCUUCUUAGGGAGACAUCAUAGCACUUGAUUUGUUUUAUUCACCUGUUUCUAAUUCUGGUGUUUUUUAGUGUUGCUCUCUCAUUCUGGCUGCACCUCCCUAACCUCUGACCCUAAUCUCUGACCCUAACCUCUGACCCUGUAUCGUGUUCUACAGAAGCCAGGGAACCAUUUGGUCUGUAGGGUGAGGUGCUACUUUAGAAUUAUGUUAUUCAAAUAUACAAAUAAAAGUUAUUUGAAUUAUGAAACAAUUGAAGGAAUAUUGAAUGAGCCUUGGAGAUAAUGUGGAUUUGUUAGUUUCAGGUGGUGUGUGAGUUUUGAGUGAUUAUAAUGCGAAGGGAGUUAGAAUUACGGUCUUAUCUGUACUUGGCUAGUUUGGUCUGCUCUAAACCACGCCCUCUCUGAGAUCUUUAUAAUGUUUAUCAAACUUGUUUAGAAGUUUAUGGUUUACAUCAACGUCCUCCAUCUUGUCAGAAAGCUGUUCUCACCCACAGAGCAAAAGCCAACACUUGUAUUACAAUAUGCCUGAUGUUACGGGUUCAUCUCUCUGGCCAAACAGCUCUGUAAUCUCCCUCUGUGGAACAGUCCUGUGUCCCUGUAGGUUUAGUUUAUUGUCCCCCUUUUUUUUGGUAUCUAUUUUGUUUUGAUUUGGAGAUGGUUCCGAGCUGCUAAAUCAGUGUAGUUGAACAACAGGCCUUCUCUUCUGACUCUUGCCACGGUGACAACAUUGAGAACAGGUGAAAAAUCCUUUCUGCAUAUUAUUAUUAGCUGUAAAAAAAAAAAAAUAUACAUGUAUUUAUUGUGUACAAAAAGUUCAAUAAUAAAACGGAUGGAAAAAUUCA